AAUAGCUAAGUCGGUAAAGCACUCGGUUUAGGCCCGAGGAUUCGAGGGUUCGAUUCCCUCUUGAAA
rnacentral:tRNA from 1 species